CUUAUACAGUAGGGUGAACGUGUCAGUUUACACGCAAAACGCACGUUACACGCUAUACGAACGCACGAUACACGCUAUACGAACGCACGUUAUACGCACGCAAAACGAAACGAAAUACGCAGACGCACGCAAAACGAUAUACGCUAAACGAAAUACGCUAAACGAUAUACGCACGCUAAAACGCACGCAAAAUGAAAACGUUUCUAAACCUUUAUUAAAAUAUCGUAAUCAUUUUAAGUUUUUAACAACUUUAGCUACAUGUAGAUCGUUUAGUGAUAAAUUUUGAUUAUCAUAUAUAUGGUAGCUAGAAAUGUAUUUUAAACGAGUUUAUGUAAGAACUGAAAUGCACUCAACCUAGCACCGAAAUUAAUUUUUGUCACAGCCUCAACAAAUGAUUUUUAGAAAUAUUUAUAAGCUAUCAUGCGCUAAUAUCGAAAGUAAAAUAGUUAGGGUAACGUGUUCCUUUUUAUGCGCAAUCGGAUAAAGAACUAUCCCUUGCGUUCACUACGUAAUCUCUACGUAAUACUCAGAGGAACUCAAGAGCCGCGGAAUCGUAUUCCGAGUGUCAGGGGUUCGAGUCCCUGCCAGGCUGUUACAUAUCAAUAUAAAU